GGGAGGUUGAGGUGGAGAGAUGACAAUUCUGUGAAGUGACUUACACAGCAUUAUAAAAAGAAAAGUCCCCUGGCUGAUGACUGGACAAGGAAACUAUGGAUAAAGCGCACUUCCAGGGUCUCAGCCCUCCUGCGCCCCGCGCGCUCCUGUAGAAAUGCCCCGGCACAUUUCAGUGUCAGGCGUGGAGAACUUCUGCACAGAACGUUAUCUUCCUUGGUACCAGAGGUUACACUCUAGGUGAAUGUGACAACUUUGGGCGAAGACAAGAGAAAAACCCAAGUGCCGACUUUCUAGAAGAAAAGUCCAGACUGGCCCUGAGCUAACAUCCGUGCCCAUCUUCCUCCAAUCCACAUGUGGGACGCCCACCACAGCACGGCUUGCCAAGCAGUGCCAUGUCUGCACCCGGGAUGCAAACCAACGAAUCCCAGGCCACAGAAGUGGAACAUGCGAACCUAACUGCUGCACCACCGGGCCGGCCCCUCAUAGCACUGUUUUAAGAUUAAAGGGUUAUUAUGUAUAAAAGGACUUACAACAGUGAUGACAAAUAGUAGGUACUAUAUAUGUGUUAGCUAUUAUUAUUAUCACUAUCCAAAAAUGAUGGUAGAUGAAAACAUCUGUUCCAACUUUUGAGACAUAAUAAACCAUGGUAAUCUGUACCAAAAUGAACGCUACCUUCAAGACUUUAUUUUGCAGGUCCCUCUUCCUUGUUCCUGCGGGACUGUGGGUCACUGCACAAUACUGAUGGGUAGAAAUGCAAGGAUCAGGGGCCUCAGGGACAUAAUUUCAGCCUCUACAAUGUACCAGCUACUAGAAGGGACGAUUCUAAAUAUCUGGUCUCUGUGAACUGAAACUUUAGCAGUAAUUGGACACUAUGAGUCUUGAGAGAGAAGAAUCUUUCUGUUAUUUGUUUGAAUCCUGGACAGAGUAGAAGAGAAUCAACCUUGGGAUGAGAAAACUGGAGUUGCCUUUCUAUUCCUCAUUUUUUGUUGCUGGGGGUUUUAGAGCAGGUGUUAGCCGGUUGCAAUGACCUGCCUCGCCCCCGUGGGUCUUUGGUGCUAUAUGCAGAUCCUGGUUAUUCUUGAACACCCAGUCCAUGCUCCACGCACUGAACAAAGCCAUGCCUCGCUCUCCCAGUUAGCCCACACAGGUCUUGAAAAAUUCUUUUUAAAAAAAAAUUACUUUAUUGAGGUCAUAUUGGCUUAUAACGUGAAAUUUCACAUGUACAUUAUUAUAUGUCAGUUUCUGUAUAGACUGCAUUGUGCUCACCACCAAUAGUCUAGUUUUUAACCACCGCCAUACACAUGUGCCCCUUUACCCCUUUCACUGCUCCCCCCCAACCACCAAUCUGUUCUCUUUAUCUAUGUGUUUGAAUAAACUGAAAUUCUUACACCCAUUGACAAUCAUAUUCUAUUUUAUACUGCUUGUUGCCUUAUGUUAUCAUCUAUAGAACUAUCUAGAGAACAUUCAUUCACUUAGUGAACAACAACAAUUUAUUGGGGGCCUUCACAGGCCUUGAUGAUGAAAAGUUAGGGUGGUUGUUUUAUAUAUAUAUAUAUAUAUAUUUAUUUAUUGUUUUAUAUAUUAUAUACACAUAUAAUACAUAUAUAGUGUAUAUAUAAACCUCUGGUACCUUUUAAAUCUCUAGUAGGAACCAAAGCUUUCUCUUUGACAGCCACCUCUCUGAAUUAUUCCCACCGGCCUCCUUAGAGAAAGGGACGAUGUAGGAUACACUGCGAUCUGCAGUUUUGGGACGUCACCCAUUUCACCUAGUACAGUGGACAUGAGUGACACUCAUGGUUGGUCUCAACAAAUAUUUUCUGAUGGGCCCACGGAGAAUGGCAUGGGAAAUAUGCUCUAAGAUGUAAAAGGAAUGGGAACUCUGGAUCCUCUUUCUUAUUCAACAGAACAUUUACUGAGCAUGGAGUGUGGGCUAGAGACUGUACUGGUUGUUAGGGACACAGAGUGAUGCCUAGCCUUCAGAGGGACACCGACCAGUCAACAAGCGACAAAAUGAGUCACCAGCCCAGGUGGUCAGGAGGUUACCGGGACCCAGGAGAGGAGCCUUUGGUCCUGCCUGGUGAUGGUGAGGGAAAGAAUGAGGUGUGGGCAGAGUGGGCCGGCUGGGGUAGGGUUGCUGUAUCUCAGAGAGAGGUUGAGCCCAGGCCGGAGAGCAAAGAGGACCCGGUUGUGACUCUCAGACUGGUCUGUUUUCCUUGAUGUCUUUUAGACCAGAGCUGAUCAGGGCUGCUGACUUCUCUCUGAGUUCGUGCACUUGAGACUGGGCCUCCCGGGUUGAGGACGGGGCAGGCUGCUAGCUACCUCUGUGAAUUCUGU
rnacentral:lncRNA from 1 species